GUGUUCGAUUCAACAGCAUAUAUACAAAAUUGGAAUGAUACAGAGAAGAUUAGCAUGGCCCCUGAGCAAGGAUGACAUGCAAAUUCGUGAAGCAUUCCAUAUUUUU
ensembl:snRNA U6 U6 spliceosomal RNA